GGCAUAUAAAUCAUUAAAGAAAAUAGUGAACUUUCUGAAAACCCAAUCACUUACUCAAAAGACAUAGCAAAAUUAGAACACACAGUAAUUGCUUUUAUAGCUGAGGCAAUAAAAUCCAAGGUGUAAAUAAUAAUUUUAUGGGUCAGGCAUCCACGUAAAUGACAAGUCCUUAUACUUCAUCUGCCCUCCACAACUGCACUUGCCUUUAGGUUAAUAUGAUGCUUUCUGAACUGCUCAAGUUUUCCUCCUAGAGUCAUAUGUAAGUUGUGAUUUUCUAUAAAGGAAAUCUGUCUUCAACCU
rnacentral:lncRNA from 1 species